rnacentral:rRNA from 1 species
GACGAACGCUGGCGGCGUGCUUAACACAUGCAAGUCGAACGGUGAUGACAGGGCUUGCCUUGUCUGAUCAGUGGCGAACGGGUGAGUAACACGUGAGUAACCUGCCCCAGACUCUGGGAUAACCCCGGGAAACCGGAGCUAAUACCGGAUAUGACCCUCGGACGCAUGUUCAGGGGGUGGAAAGUUUUUCGGUCUGGGAUGGGCUCGCGGCCUAUCAGCUUGUUGGUGAGGUAGUGGCUCACCAAGGCGACGACGGGUAGCCGGCCUGAGAGGGCGACCGGCCACACUGGGACUGAGACACGGCCCAGACUCCUACGGGAGGCAGCAGUGGGGAAUAUUGCACAAUGGGCGAAAGCCUGAUGCAGCGACGCCGCGUGAGGGAUGACGGCCUUCGGGUUGUAAACCUCUUUUAUCAGGGGCGAAAAAAGGCCAUUCUUGGUCGUCUGACGGUACCUGAUGAAUAAGCACCGGCUAACUCCGUGCCAGCCGCCGCGGUAAAAC